rnacentral:rRNA from 1 species
CAGGCGUUGCUUAGUACGGCGAGUGAGCGGCAAAAGCUCAAAUUUGAAAUCGGCCACCAGGUCGAGUUGUAAUUUGUAGAUUGUAUCUUGAGAGCGGAUUAAAGUCUGUUGGAACACAGCGCCUUAGAGGGUGACAGCCCCGUAAAAUCUAUUCUCAUUGUAAGAUACUUUCGAAGAGUCGAGUUGUUUGGGAAUGCAGCUCUAAGUGGGAGGUAAAUUCCUUCUAAAGCUAAAUAUUGACGAGAGACCGAUAGCGAACAAGUACUGUGAAGGAAAGAUGAAAAGCACUUUGAAAAGAGAGUGAAAAAGUACGUGAAAUUGUUAAAAGGGAAGGGUAUUGAAUCAGACUUGGUGCUGUUGUUCAACUGUGUUUCGGCAUAGUGUACUCAGCAGUACUAGGCCAAGGUGGGGUGUUUGGGAGUGAAAAAGAAGUAGGAACGUAACUCUUCGGAGUGUUAUAGCCUACUUUCAUAGCUCCUCAGGCGCCUCAGGACUGCGCUUCGGCAAGGACCUUGGCAUAAUGAUUCUAUACCGCCCGUCUUGAACCCA